CAGUCAUACCGAUGAGCAUUCAGCCUUUUGGGUGCGAUUAUGUGGUACGUGGAAAGAUUUCACGAUUGCAUAUUUGUGCCUCUUGGGUGUACUUGCUCGUAUGGUAGGUUAACAUCAAUUUCGGGCAUCAUAAAAUGGCGGGAGGAAUGUGGCUUCUCCGGAAGUGUUAUAGCCUUCUGGUAGAUGUGAUGACUGAGAUUGAGGGAUUUGCAACGAAUACCCUUCCGGGGCUACCCUGUCUGGGCCUCUGGGUCGUCCGCUUUUGGGUGGCCCAAAGGCGUGGCUUAUGGUAUCCAAGUAGGUGGGUCAAAAGGGUCAAACCGGGUUAAAU
rnacentral:rRNA from 1 species